GAUGAACGCUGGCGGCGUGCCUAAUACAUGCAAGUAGAACGCUGAAGCUUGGUGCUUGCACCGAGCGGAAGAGUUGCGAACGGGUGAGUAACGCGUAGGUAACCUGCCUCUUAGCGGGGGAUAACUAUUGGAAACGAUAGCUAAUACCGCAUAAAAGUCGGCAUUGCAUGAUGUUGACUUGAAAGGUGCAACUGCAUCACUAAGAGAUGGACCUGCGUUGUAUUAGCUAGUUGGUGAGGUAACGGCUCACCAAGGCGACGAUACAUAGCCGACCUGAGAGGGUGAUCGGCCACACUGGGACUGAGACACGGCCCAGACUCCUACGGGAGGCAGCAGUAGGGAAUCUUCGGCAAUGGACGGAAGUCUGACCGAGCAACGCCGCGUGAGUGAAGAAGGUUUUCGGAUCGUAAAGCUCUGUUGUAAGAGAAGAACGAGUGUGAGAGUGGAAAGUUC
rnacentral:rRNA from 1 species